rnacentral:tRNA from 1 species
GGCUCCGUAGUGUAAGAAGCAUAUGAAACUGCAAAUUUCAAGGACUGAGUAAUAUCUGCCGGGGCUU